AUUUAUCACAAGUCAUAUCUUCAUUGCAUGUUUUCCUAAUAUCAUGCAGACUUAUGCUCCAACUGGUUGCAAGGUAUUUAUUUAUUUUUCUCCUCUUCUGUUUUCAGCAUUGUCUGUUUCUCAACAUUUAAGUAUAAUUUGAUCCAAAAUUCUUUUAAGGUAAGAUCAGAGGUAAACGUAGAGAUACAAGUGGUAGAAGAAUUAUCAUCUUUAUGGAUAAGAUACUUUAAAUUGAUCAGUUUAGUCUGUUUCGAGCUGUAUAGUUGCAGUUCACAUCUGUGGCGCCAGAGGGCGGUGUUUAGCCAAAUCACCGUCUCACCUGCAAACAUGAAAGUGUUGGCUUCCGCCUGAAUUUCCUCAUCUUCAUGCUGGUUAGUGUCUCCGUCUCCCUCUGCUGGUCAAUGAGAGCACGGCGCUUCUGCACAAUAUCCCUGGUGAACCUGCAAGUUCUCCAGUAGAUCCAGUCCCAGUGGUGCAAAAUGCGAAGGCGGCGAUCUAUCACCAGGUCGCUGAGCUCCACGAUGGCGGACACAUAUUCACUGGUGGACCUAAAAACAAAGAUGUGAAAUCCAGCAGAAAUCCAGAACAGAGACAAGACAUUUCGGGCGCCAUCAGCAGGGGCUUCACAUAAUCAGGAUGAAAGACUCUGACCAUGUGGUAGAAAGGCCCGAAGAACCAGGAGCAGGAGUGUUUGUAGUAAUGCUGUAUGUCUGAGGGGUGGAUUUUGAACCUUACCUGACCGAGGUGACCAAUCAGCCAUGAAUGCGUCUGCGGCUUGUUGAAGCAGGACAACCUGUGAGUGUACCAGGCGUGACGAACCAGCAGCCUCAC